GACAUACUCCCUCUCCGUCCGAAAAUUCUUGUCUUAAGUUUAUCUAGAAAUAAAUGUAUCUAAAUACAAAGAUGUGAUUACAUACAUUCAUAUCUAAAUAAAUUUAAUAUAAGAAUUUUGGGACAGAGGUGGUAGACA
rfam:Hordeum vulgare subsp. vulgare, WGS project CAJW01000000 data, contig: morex_contig_47785